rnacentral:miRNA from 1 species
AGGUUUAAUGGAGUCGGUAAG